rnacentral:rRNA from 1 species
UCGGGAAUUUUGGGCAAUGGGCGAAAGCCUGACCCAGCAACGCCGCGUGAGGGAUGAAGUAUUUCGGUAUGUAAACCUCGAAAGAAUGGGAAGAAUAAAUGACGGUACCAUUUAUAAGCUCCGGCUAACUACGUGCCAGCAGCCGAGGUAAUACGUAGGGAGCAAGCGUUGUUCGGAUUUACUGGGCGUAAAGGGCGCGUAGGCGGCGCGGUAAGUCACUUGUGAAAUCUCUGAGCUUAACUCAGAACGGCCAAGUGAUACUGCUGUGCUAGAGUGCGGAAGAGGCAACCGGAAUUCUUGGUGUAGCGGUGAAAUGCGUAGAUAUCAAGAGGAACACCUGAGGCGAAGGCGGGUUGCUGGGCCGACACUGACGCUGAUGCGCGAAAGCCAGGGGAGCAAACG